UGAACAGUCUCUGUUGACAGUUCAAACACAGAGUGUGUGAGAGUAACCGGUCAUUACAGAGAAAGACUUCACCUUCUACCCAACAUGCAUUCCUGGUAUGCAAGAAAACAGUAGUUGUUGGCUGGCCGCAGACCGUUAAGAGCAGGAUGUGGCCUAAAGCCAACGGAGCACCGCCGUUGACGUGUCAGCUUUUGACCCUGCGGCGCCACUACGAAACCAAAACCCCGCCCAACGACCGUCUGAGGGAUGAGACACACAGGGGGAGAGGAGAGGAAACCAGUCACUCAAACGUCAAAUGGCAACCUGCCUCAACAAAUCCACAACCGCGAGGAGAGGAUGGACUCCUCCCUCUGGCCGAUUGGCUCUUACAGACAUGCGGUUACUUGACACACAGAAAUGUCAAGAAUAAAACAAAAAGCCCGAUGUGUGAUGAAGUCUCCCGGGUUUUGUAGUCAGCACUCACUAAACUCAGGCCAAGAAUCCUGAAAAACAUCCACAACACAAAAAAACAUCUGUUAUUAUCUUUAUUAAUAUAGAAAAGAUAAAUGAGUCCCCUGCUCUCGGCCUCCUGCUGCGUUAACUCACAAAUGCUCCCGGAGAUCCAGUUUGCAGAUUUAUGACUUGCUGCUAAGAUGGAAAUGACUGGAAAUGAUCCACUUUAGCCCACAUAUUGCCGUUAGUCGGCACAAUUCAGCGAAGGAAGAUGAAUGUUCGGAUAGGAGGGUUGCUGUCCAAAUAUUUCUCCUCUGCAAACAAAGAUUUUGUGUUUGUGGGUGAAAGCUUUUCUGAAUGUCUUAUGUACAUCCGCCGUAUGCGCCAGCUGAAAUGAUUAUUUUGUGUUAUUUCCCCGCCACUCACCAUACGUCAUGUAUUCAAAACACGUAAACGACAGGAGAAGCGACUUGUUGAGAAAUGGCACUGAAGAAAAGGCAGCGUGGUUCGUAUUAGAUUGUUGCAUAACCAGAUGUCUGUGACAAAUAGAGAAUGGAUAAAUCAUUCAUCUGUCGAGAUCCGAUUUGUGCAUCAAUUAGAACAUGCAGGCUGUGUUUGUAUGUGUGUGCAGAGUGCAGAGAGCAGUGUGUGUGUGUGUGUGUGUGUGUGUGUGUACAGCAUAUGCCAAAAAGGGAGCUGUUAAGGUUUCUGUGUUAAACCACUUUGAUUUCUG
ensembl:lncRNA